UUGUUUGGCUUAUAAGCAGGGCUCCGAACUGGUUCAAGGAACGAAAACGAAAACCGAAAACGAACGGAAUUUUACGGAAUUUUACGAGGAGCGGAAACGGAAACGAAAAUAAAAUG